rnacentral:rRNA from 1 species
AGUGAACGCUGGCGGCAGGCCUAACACAUGCAAGUCGAACGAGUCGCGGACGGGUGAGGAAUACAUCGGAAUCUCUUAUGGCGUGGGAGAUCACGUGGGGACACUUACGCUCAUACCGCAUACGAUGAAAUGCGCCGAUGUGGGAUUAGCUUGGUGGCGGGGUAAAGGCGCACCAAGGCGACGCGCCGUAGCUGGUCUGAGAGGAUGACCAGCCACACUGGAACUGAGACACGGUCCAGACUCCUACGGGAGGCAGCAGUGGGGAAGAUUGGACAAUGGGCGCAAGACUGAUCCAGCCAUGCCGCGUGGGUGAAGAAGGCCUUCGGGUUGUAAAGCCCUUUUGUCGGGGAAGCGUUACCCAAAGAAUAAGCACCGGCUAACUCCGUGCCAGCAGCCGCGGUAAUAC